UCAUUUUGAUCAACUUUACAAAGUUAGGUUUGAAUAUAUAGUUGAAAAAAUUCCCAAAAAAUAAUGAACAAGAUUUAAAACCAUAACAUUUUCAAGAAAUAAUAAUUGGUGCAUCUAAGAGAGUGCAAUUACAGAGCCCAGUUUCUUUUAUUAUCUAUCAUCUUUCUUCAAAAACGGGUGCCAAGUGCCGAGCCGAUGAUUCAUUUGCGAAAUGUAUGUAUUUUAUUACUACCAUAAUUAUGUUCCUUUAAGGUCAGUCCAAACCGAAACCCAUCUUCCUAGGCUCGGAUAACGAACCAUUCUAUGGAUCUUUAGGUCCUAAAAGAUCCUCAGAUUGAAUGAACUGAAUGUGAAAGUUUGGCUCAUUCGGAUCGGUUCGAAUGAACGAAUCAUUUUCAGAGAGACGACCCGAUCGAACCAUUCGUUCUGAAGACCCGGGUCUUUUGAUUCGUUCGUUCGUGAACGACACAUCCCUAAUUCGAUACGAUACCGGCGUUACCGCCGAUAACCCAUAUAUACUUUUCACGAUGUGUUUUCCCUCCGUAAAUAAAAAAGUAAAUCUGUCUCAAUCAGCAUAAAAUCGGUAUGAAAAUUGAAUAAUGCGAAAAGUAAUAUACAAACCUUCAAUCAAUAGGAAAAUCCAGAAUUUGGUUUGAAGUGUGCAGAGAACAUCUCCAAACAAAAGAGAUAUAUGGAGAAUAUAACUUUUGAAUCUUAGUCGUGUAUAGUGAUACAGUGAAUGGUUAUUGCAUUUACUUCCCUAAAAAUAAUAAUGAAUAAAAUAGUUGAAGCAACAAAUAAACAUAUCAUAUUGGCAAUAAGGAUAAAUGACCAAGAAAAUGGUAUCAACAACGGUAAUAUGCUAUGGGAAGAUACCUGUAAAAAGAAUAUUAUACAAGAGGUCAAGAAGGGAAUUAUCAAGAUAAUAUAACUUUAGAGAUUGACAAGGGUAUACAAGAGAGAAGUGCAGAUGCACAAGAUGUAAUAAGUAGAAUAGAGAAACCACCAAAAUGGAUGAGUGA